rnacentral:tRNA from 2 species
CGGGCUGUGGCGCAGCUUGGUAGCGCACCUGCUUUGGGAGCAGGGGGUCGCCGGUUCGAAUCCGGCCAGCCCGA